rnacentral:rRNA from 1 species
AGGCAACGAUACGUAGCCGACCUGAGAGGGUGAUCGGCCACACUGGAACUGAGACACGGUCCAGACUCCUACGGGAGGCAGCAGUAGGGAAUCUUCCGCAAUGGGCGAAAGCCUGACGGAGCAACGCCGCGUGAGUGAUGAAGGUCUUCGGAUCGUAAAGCUCUGUUGUUAGGGAAGAACAAAUGUGUAAGUAACUGUGCACAUCUUGACGGUACCUAACCAGAAAGCCACGGCUAACUACGUGCCAGCAGCCGCGGUAAUACGUAGGUGGCAAGCGUUAUCCGGAAUUAUUGGGCGUAAAGCGCGCGUAGGCGGUUUUUUAAGUCUGAUGUGAAAGCCCACGGCUCAACCGUGGAGGGUCAUUGGAAACUGGAAAACUUGAGUGCAGAAGAGGAAAGUGGAAUUCCAUGUGUAGCGGUGAAAUGCGCAGAGAUAUGGAGGAACACCAGUGGCGAAGGCGGCUUUCUGGUCUGUAACUGACGCUGAUGUGCGAAAGCGUGGGGAUCAAACAGGAUUAGAUACCCUGGUAGUCCACGCCGUAAACGAUGAGUGCUAAGUGUUAGGGGGUUUCCGCCCCUUAGUGCUGCAGCUAACGCAUUAAGCACUCCGCCUGGGGAGUACGGUCGCAAGACUGAAACUCAAAGGAAUUGACGGGGACCCGCACAAGCGGUGGAGCAUGUGGUUUAAUUCGAAGCAACGCGAAGAACCUUACCAAAUCUUGACAUCUUUUGACCACUCUAGAGAUAGAGUUUUCCUCUUCGGAGGACAAAAUGACAGGUGGUGCAUGGUUGUCGUCAGCUCGUGUCGUGAGAUGUUGGGUUAAGUCCCGCAACGAGCGCAACCCUUGAGCUUAGUUGCCAUCAUUAAGUUGGGCACUCUAAGUUGACUGCCGGUGACAAACCGGAGGAAGGUGGGGAUGACGUCAAAUCAUCAUGCCCCUUAUGAUUUGGGCUACACACGUGCUACAAUGGACAAUACAAAGGGCAGCGAAACCGCGAGGUCAAGCAAAUCCCAUAAAGUUGUUCUCAGUUCGGAUUGUAGUCUGCAACUCGACUACAUGAAGCUGGAAUCGCUAGUAAUCGUAGAUCAGCAUGCUACGGUGAAUACGUUCCCGGGUCUUGUACACACCGCCCGUCACACCACGAGAGUUUGUAACACCCGAAGCCGGUGGAGUAACCAUUUGGAGCUAGCCGUCGAAGGGUGAGCAA